rnacentral:rRNA from 1 species
GAUGAACGCUGGCGGCAUGCCUAACACAUGCCAGUCGAUCGGUAAGGCUCUUCGGAGUACACGAGAGGCGGACGGCUGAGUAACGCGUAGGAACACACCCUGCAGUGAGGGAUAAGACACCGAAAGGUGUUCUAAUACCGCAUACGGUCUUCGGAUUAAAGCAUUUAUGCGCUGAAGGAGUGGCCUGCGUCAUAUUAGAUAGUUGGUGAGGUAAUGGCUCACCAAGUCGAUGAUGUGUAGCUGGUCUGAGAGGAUGAUCAGCCAGACUGGAACUGAGACACGGUCCAGACUCCUACGGGAGGCAGCAGUGAGGAAUAUUUCACAAUGAGCGAAAGCUUGAUGGAGCAAUGCCGCGUGCAGGAUGAAGGCCCUCGGGUUGUAAACUGCUUUUAUAAGAGAAGAUUAUGACGGUAACUGAUGAAUAAGGGACGGCUAACUACGUG